AACGUAGGAGACAAACGUUAUCCGGAGUUACUGGGCGUAAAGCGUGCGCAGGCGGUUUUGUAAGUCUGUCGUGAAAUCCCCCGGCUUAACCUGGGAACUGCAUUUGUGACUGCACGGCUAGAGUGCGGCAGAGGGGGAUGGAAUUCCGCGUGUAGCAGUGAAAUGCGUAGAUAUGCGGAGGAACACCGAUGGCGAAGGCAAUCCCCUGGGCCUGCACUGACGCUCAUGCACGAAAGCGUGGGGAGCAAACAGG
rnacentral:rRNA from 1 species